rnacentral:rRNA from 1 species
UACGUAGGGGGCAAGCGUUGUCCGGAUUCAUUGGGCGUAAAGAGCGUGUAGGCGGCCAGGUAGGUCGGUUGUGAAAACUGGAGGCUCAACCUUCAGAGGUCGACCGAAACCAUCUGGCUAGAGUCCGGGAGAGGAGAGUGGAAUUCCUCGGUGUAGCGGUGAAAUGCGCAGAUAUCAGGAAGAACACCCGUGGCGAAAGCGGCUCUCUGGAACGGUACUGACGCUGAGACGCGAAAGCGUGGGGGGAGCGAACAGG